rfam:Trichobilharzia regenti genome assembly, scaffold: TRE_scaffold0123913
AUCUAGCUGACGAAUCCAAAAUAGGACGAAAUGCGCGUUAUCCUGGUGGAU